UACGUAGGGCGCAAGCGUUGUCCGGAAUUAUUGGGCGUAAAGAGCUCGUAGGCGGUUUGUCGCGUCUGCUGUGAAAACCUAAGGCUCAACCUUGGGCUUGCAGUGGGUACGGGCAGGCUAGAGUUCGGUAGGGGGAGACUGGAAUUCCUGGUGUAGCGGUGAAAUGCGCAGAUAUCAGGAGGAACACCGGUGGCGAAGGCGGGGUCUCUGGGGCCGAUACUGACGCUGAGGAGCGAAAGCGUGGGGGAGCGAACAGGA
rnacentral:rRNA from 1 species